GUCAAUGCAAACUCAAUCCUCAUCCCCUGAACUGCAUCUUGCCACUACCUCCAAAGCGGACAUGGACACAGCGCAGGGGAGGAGCAGCCAGCACCGCUCGGCUCGCUCCUCGCUGCGGCUGUCCCGCUGGAGCUGAACCCCAGUGACGGCAGCGGGGUCCCCUCCCGAUCCAUCCCCUUCCGCCCAGCGGGGAUCGGCGCCUGCGGGGAAGUUGUGCCAGGAGCCCCCUGGGCCGGCGCUCAGCACUCACUCUGCCCCUCGAACUUGCGGAUGAUGGUGUCCAGCAUGAGCAACCUGCACUUGCCCUUUACAUGUUCCCCGUCCUCAAGGGAAGAUUUCUGGAAGAAACAGAAAAUAAGAAGAGCAACAUGUUGUAUACCUAAUAAAAGUAAUCAUAUAUCACCAGAAC